rnacentral:rRNA from 1 species
AUUGAACGCUGGCGGCAGGCCUAACACAUGCAAGUCGAACGAGUGGCGGACGGGUGAGUAAUGUCUGGAAAACUGCCCGAUGGAGGGGGAUAACUACUGGAAACGGUGGCUAAUACCGCAUACCAUCGGAUGUGCCCAGAUGGGAUUAGCUAGUAGGGGGGGUAACGGCUCACCUAGGCGACGAGCCCUAGCUGGUCUGAGAGGAUGACCAGCCACACUGGAACUGAGACACGGUCCAGACUCCUACGUGAGGCAGCAGUGGGGAAUAUUGCACAAUGGGCGCAAGCCGGAUGCAGCCAUGCCGCGUGUAUGAAGAAGGCCUUCGGGUUGUAAAGUACUUUCAGCGAGGAGGCGUUACUCGCAGAAGAAGCACCGGCUAACUCCGUGCCAGCAGCCGCGGUAAUAC